UUCAGGUCUUCAUCUCCUUUUCCUUCAUUGGGGGUCAAGUUGCUUGGCUGUCUGUUGGCUCAGUUUCCCUACAUAUGGGAACAUCCUUUUCUUUGGACCGUGUGAGUAGCGGCUUUGCGCCUCCUCCCCACACAAGCGUUGCUGUCUUCCCCCUCUGCAGUUCCUGUUUAUAUUGGUAGGCCCCACAGCUGACUAAGCUCUGUCAUAGCCUCGUGUCUGUCUUUCUCACACAGAUGGGGUGCAGAGUUGUGGGUCUGCCUUUCUUUAAGCCAGGCCCUUCCCGUGCAGGAGACAUGCAUAGAGGGGAGAGAGGAGGUGGAGACAGACUGCAGGGGAAGUAGUUAACAUACUUGUCUUUGACAGUUUACACUUUGUCUUCUCUAUCUCUGGGAAAGGCGAUCGAGCGAGGCCUGGGCUUUGAGCUGGUCUAUGGUCCUGCUAUCAGAGACGCAACCAUGAGAAGGUACACAAUCUCCAAUGCCCUCAAUCUGAUGCAGAUCUGCAAAGGAAAGGUAUAGUUCCUGCGCCCAGGGUGCUUUCUGCCAAUGGCGGUUUAGUAGUGUGUCCAUGCUGUCAACUGACUCCUGGCCUUAAGCAGAAAAUUCUCAGGACACUAGAUUCUUCGAUUUCAAGGAGCUUUGCAAGAGUUUGUAAAAACUCCCCAGGGAGGAGUAAGAUACGGAAGAAAGAUGUGCCAAAAGCCCCUGGUUUUGAUAAGGGAUUUGUAGUUUGCCACAAUGAAAAGUUAGUAGUUGAUUAUCGCUGAGUGAGUUAAAGUUACAGCUUCUAAUUCAUCUGCACUAAGAUGUAUUCACAAAGUUUAUUCUGCUUUUAUUAUUGGCAGCCUUGAGUGUGACAUGAGAGCUUUUAAUGGUUUCCCACUAAUUACCUACCUUAUCUUU
rnacentral:lncRNA from 1 species